AUGCCCACCGUCACCUUCAUGUCACUCUACCUCAACUAUCUCACCGGCAGCUUCCCGGAGUUUGUCCUCGAGAGCAGUAACGUCACCUACCUCGACCUGUCGCAGAACAAUGUCUCCGGACCGAUACCGGAAUCGCUGCCAGAGAAGCUCCCCAACCUCAAGUACCUCAACUUAUCCGUCAAUGCCUUCUCCGGCCAGAUACCAGCGUCUCUGUCCAAGCUGGGGAAGCUCCGGGACCUACGGAUUGUAGCCAAUAACCUGACAGGUGGCAUCCCUGAUUUCCUUGGGUCCAUGUUCCAGCUGAGAGUUCUUGAACUCGGUGUCAACCCGCUCGGCGGGGCGAUCCCUCCGGUUCUUGGACGGCUCCAGAUGCUGCAACGCCUAGACCUGAAGUUUGCCGGGCUGGUUUCCACUAUUCCACAAGAGCUGGGAAACCUUAGCAAUCUCAAUUUCUUGGAACUGUCUAUGAAUCAGCUCACCGGUGUCUUGCCCAUGGCGUUGGUCGGGAUGCACAAAAUGCGGGAGUUUGGCAUAGAGUUUAACAAAUUCAUUGGUCAAAUUCCGCUGGCUUUGUUCACGAGCUGGCCAGAGCUUAUAGCGUUCCAAGCGCAGGAAAACUCAUUCACUGGGAAGAUUCCGCAAGAGCUAGGCAAGGCAAGCAAGCUAAAAUUAAUCUAUCUCUUCGGGAACAACCUUACCGGCUCUAUUCCGGUAGAGCUUGGCGAGUUGGUGAGCCUGAGCGAGUUGGACUUGUCCGUCAACUCGCUCACAGGGCCUAUACCCAGCUCGUUCGGCAAUCUCACGCAGCUCACGAGGCUGGCGCUCUUCUUCAACCUGCUCACUGGAAUGAUCCCACCGGAGAUCGGCAACAUGACGGCGUUGCAAGUCUUGGAUGUCAACACCAACCAUUUUAAAGGUGAGCUGCCCACGACCAUCACAUCACUCAGGAAUCUCCACUACCUCGCCCUGUUCGACAACAACUUCAGCGGCACCGUACCACCGGAUCUCGGGAAGGGGCUGCGCUUGACAGACGUGAGCUUUGCGAAUAAUAGCUUCUCUGGCGAACUACCGCAAAGGUUGUGUGACGGCCUUGUGCUACAGAACUUCACAGCAAACCACAACAACUUCAGCGGCCCGCUGCCGCCAUGCCUCAAGAACUGCACAGGCCUAUUCCAUGUGAGAUUGGACCUGAACCAAUUCACCGGCGACAUCUCCCAGGUGUUCGGUGUCCAUCCCAUCUUGGAUUUCGUGGAUGUCUCGGGGAAUCAGCUGACAGGGCAGUUGUCGACUGAUUGGUCACAGUGCACCAGUCUAACAAUUCUAUCCAUGAACAACAAUCGCCUGUCUGGAAACAUCUCUUCAGCCUUGUGUGGAUUGACCUUGCUCCAGUUACUGGAUCUAUCAAAUAACCACUUCACUGGUGAGCUCCCAAGUUGCUGGUGGAAACUACAAGCACUGGUAUUUAUGGAUGUGUCCAACAAUGGGUUUUGGGGUAAAUUUCCUGCCUCGACAAGCUUGAGUGAGUUCCCUCUCCAAUCACUUAAUCUUGCUAACAAUAGCUUCUCUGGGGAUUUCCCAUCUGUCAUUGAAACUUGUUGCAGUAAGCUCAAUACACUGAAUCUUGGGAACAACAUGUUCCUCGGCGCUAUUCCUGCUUGGAUUGGAAAAAGUGUUCCUCUUCUACGAGUUUUGAGCUUCCCGUCCAACAAUUUCAGUGGUGUCGUUCCGUCCGAGAUAUCGCAGCUUUCUAAUCUGCAAGUACUUGACAUGUCCAACAACAGCUUUACUGGAUCUAUCCCAAGUACAUUCGGCAACUUAUCAUCCAUGAUGGAACAACUCUCGUCUUGGACAACAACAUCUUCUGAAAGCCAUGGAGAGUUUCCUUCUCCCAUUUUCUUGAUAAGUUUGAGCCGGAUUUCUAUUUUCUCUAGAAGGACUAUGCCACCUGAUAAUUUGUCAUCAGUGAACGAGUACCGAGAGAGACUUAAGAUUUUCUGGAAGGGCCGUCAGCAAACUUUUCAGAAAACAAUCGAGCUAAUGACAUGCAUUGAUUUAUCAAGCAACCAACUUGCUGGGGACAUCCCUGAGGAGCUAACAUACCUUCAGGGCAAUAUUCCAGCAAGCAUUGGCAGUUUGGAGCUCCUGGAGUUCCUUGACCUCUCAUGGAAUGAACUUUCAGGAGCUCUGUUUUUCCUCGAGCCAUGGCGGUCUUCCUUCUCCCAUUUUCUUGAUAACUUGUGCAUCAAGUAA
rnacentral:rRNA from 1 species